rnacentral:rRNA from 1 species
CACCGGCGGCUCGAGUGGUAACCGUUAUUAUUGGGGUCUAAAGGGUCUGUAGCCGGCCGGAUAAGUCUCUUGAGAAAUCUGGCAGCUUAACUGUCAGGCUUUCAGGAGAUACUGUCUGGCUCGAGGCCGGGAGAGGUGAGAGGUACUUCAGGGGUAGGGGUGAAAUCUUGUAAUCCUUGAAGGACCACCAGUGGCGAAGGCGUCUCACCAGAACGGACCUGACGGCAAGGGACGAAAGCUAGGGGCACGAACCGGAUUAGAUACCCGCGUAGUCCCUGAGCGGGCU